rnacentral:rRNA from 1 species
AGGCAGGUNUCUGUACCGAUACUGACAAGAGGAGAGAAAGGGUGGGCAGCAAGCAUGAUAUAGAUACCCUAGUACUCCACGCAAUAAACGGUGAGCGCUAGUUGUUCAAACCUUUAUCAUUAUGUGCGCACGCAGCUAACGCAAUUAGCCCCCCGCGGGGGGAGUACGCUCGCAUGAUAAAAAAUCGAAAGGAAUGGGGGGCCCCCCAAACAAGCAGGGGAGCAUGUUUAAUUAGAUGGAAGCAGAAGAAAGUACCUUACCAAGGCUUUACAUUAACAGGAAUAGGGGAUGAGAUGUCACCUUCGCAAGUUCUGAAUCCAGGUGGUCCAUGGUGGUCGGUCAGUUGGUGUCGGGAGAUGUUGGGUAAAGUCCCCGAAAGAAGCCCACCCCUCUUUUUAUGUUGCAAGCAUUAAGUUGGGGACUCACAGGAGACUGCCGGGGUUCCUCGGAGGAAGGUGGGGAUGACGUCAAAUCUUCAUACCCCCUAUGUNNNNNNNUGCACGCAUGUUACACAGUGGGGUACAAAGGGGGCAGAUAAGGCAAGGUGGAGAGAAUAUGAUAAAACCAUUGUCAUUUUGGAGAGGGGUGUGCAACUCUACCCCACAAAAUGUGAGAAUCUAGUAAUAUUAGAUCACCAAAGGUACGGGGAAUACGUUUCCGGGGCUUGUANNNNNNNNNNNUCCCCUCCAGAAAGUUGGUAACACCCAAAGCCAGUGGCCCAACCGUAAGGAGGGAGUUUCCCAAGGUGGGAUUCAUGAUUGGGAUGAAGUCGUAACAAGGUA